AUGCACGCAGGCGGCAGGCCUAACACAUGCAAGUCGAGCGGCACCGAGUUAUCUGAACCUUCGGGGACAGAUAAAGGCGUCAAGCGGCGGACGGAUGAGUAAUGCCUAGGAAAUUGCCUGAUGUGGGGGAUAACCAUCGGAAACGAUGGCUAAUACCGCAUGAUGCCUACGGGCCAAAGAGGGGGACCUUCGGGCCUCUCGCGUCAGGAUAUGCCUAGGUGGGAUCAGCUAGUUGGUGAGGUAAGGGCUCACCAAGGCAACGAUCCCUAGCUGGUCUGAGAGGAUGAUCAGCCACACUGGAACUGAGACACGGUCCAGACUCCUACGGGAGGCAGCAGUGGGGAAUAUUGCACAAUGGGCGCAAGCCUGAUGCAGCCAUGCCGCGUGUAUGAAGAAGGCCUUCGGGUUGUAAAGUACUUUCAGUCGUGAGGAAGGCGUUGUCGUUAAUAGCGGCAUCGUUUGACGUUAGCGACAGAAGAAGCACCGGCUAACUCCGUGCCAGCAGCCGCGGUAAUACGGAGGGUGCGAGCGUUAAUCGGAAUUACUGGGCGUAAAGCGCAUGCAGGUGGUUUGUUAAGUCAGAUGUGAAAGCCCGGGGCUCAACCUCGGAAUAGCAUUUGAAACUGGCAGACUAGAGUACUGUAGAGGGGGGUAGAAUUUCAGGUGUAGCGGUGAAAUGCGUAGAGAUCUGAAGGAAUACCGGUGGCGAAGGCGGCCCCCUGGACAGAUACUGACACUCAGAUGCGAAAGCGUGGGGAGCAAACAGG
rnacentral:rRNA from 1 species